CCUUCACCUGUUUGUAAUAUAUUUACAGAACCCUUAUCUUAUUGCUUUUAUGUCACUUGCUUGGCGUAACUCAUUUUGUGACUUAAUCUUUCUGAUUUUGUCCCCACAUGCUUGUGCUACUCUUUUGUACUCAUCCGUAGCAAUUUGUCCAUGAUUCCACUUCUUUAGGAUUCCUUUUUAGUUUCUGGUCAUUAAAGAGCUCCCGAUAGAAAGAAUAGUAAGU